rnacentral:rRNA from 1 species
GGAUCAGGUAGGAAUACCCGCUGAACUUAAGCAUAUCAAAGCGGGA